CCCACACCGCUCCCUCUGAUUUCCCCCUAAUCUCAAUCCCAUUUAAAACCCUAAAAGACUCUUUCCUCUCUAAUUUUAUCUUCCCUUCCAAUCGUCUCUUCCAGCGAUGGCAUUUCUUGAGAAAGGAGGCAGAGGAGAUGAGGAGGAAACUAUCGAUCAAUUUUAUUCUGUUAUGUUUUACCAUCCCAAGUCCUAGAUCAAUUUUAUUCUGUCUAUUCAGAAAUCUAACAAAAUUCCAAAAAAUGUUUUAACCUAACUAUGUAGAAGUCUAACUAAAUUCCCAAAAUUUUUUCAACCUUAGCAGACAGUCUCUCUUUGCUGUUACAUCUGCACUUGCCCAGCCUGUACCUCAUUCAGUCAUUUGCUCUUUCAUCUUUGCCGCCGCACCUGCACCUUCCCAAUCUACAACUCAUUCGGUCGUUCAGGUUACUAAAACCCGUUACUCAAUGCUUCAUCUUCACCAUUUGCCUUUUUUUUCUCCUCAGAACUGAAUUCUUGUGUUUCGAAGUAAAAUUGUAGUGAAUAAGAAAAAGAACAGAACAUGAAGCUGAAUGUAGACGUUUUGAAAUAUCUCUCCAAAGAUGAUUUAAGGGUUCUAACUGCCAUCGAAAUGGGCAUGAGAAACCAUGAAAUUGUGCCUUCAGACCUCAUCGAUCGUAUUGCUUCCCUCAAGCAUGGAGGCACUUACAAGGUCUUCAAUCGCUUCAGCAUUUUAAGGAAGGGGGAUCUGUAUGUUUCUUCAAAGAAUCCAGGGGAGCAUGUCCUAUAUGAGAAUCCUAGUGUCUAGAGGAAGGUUUUCUAUCCAAACCGACAGAAUCCAACACUAUGUCCUGUUCAAAUACUUGAGGAAGAGAAGGCUAUGCGUCCUACUGAUCCUAGCUGUUCGUCAUGCCUAUUUUUGUGCAUCAAGUAUGGUGGAAGGACAAGAAAUCUUCCUCAAAAUGAAUGAUGGUUUUCGUCUUACGUACCUUGGCUAUGAUUUCCUUGCCAUUAAAACCAAGGUCAACUGUGGAGCUUUCAUUGCAGUUGGUCGUCAAAUUAGGGUUGGCAAAGAGUUCGGUCUUGCCAUGUGGCCAGCAAUCAUGGUCGAUGAAUAACUUGUUGGUGAUCAUCAAGGUUUAAGCAAGAUUUCUGGUGGAAGAUCAGUUCCAAUGCAAUAUUUUGGCACCCAUGAUUUGCAAGAGUAAAAACUAAACAAGUGAUCUCAUUUCUCAAAGGACUUCUUUCGUCAUUCCAUCAGAAGUGCAAGAAACCUCAAUUUACAAGGGGCUUGGAAGAAGCAAAACUGUAAGUUAUUUUCUUUUUAGGUCUUUUUGCUAAAAGUUUGUUUAGCACAAGUUACAAAAGGAACAUGAUAAAGAAAAACUUUUUUCUUUGAAUUUAUUUAUUUAUUCUAAUUGUAAUGAGAUUAAUAUGCACAUUUCAAUUGUUUCUGCUUUGUGCUCACACAUGGUCCAUUUUUAAGCAUAGCUGAGGCUAACAUUGAGAAUGAAUUGAAAU